UUCACCUCAUCCAGGUUCAGCUGCAACCACUUCAUUCUGCGGCUGAGUCCCUGACAAUGAGCCUGGCCGCUUUGCUGCUGGUGCUGGCUCCAGGUGCGUUGGCCCAAUACACGGUGACCCAGGAGCCGUCCCAGGCCGCUGCCAAGGAAGGAGAAUCCAUCCAGCUCAACUGCUCCUACACGGGCACCGCGUACAGCGUGCAUUGGUACCGCCAGCCCCAGGGGGGCCAGCCGCGGUUCCUGGCGCUCCUGUCCUCUAGUCACAGAGACACCCGAGAGAAUUUCACCAUGAGCCUGGACACCAAAACCAAAAGCAGCUUCUUGUACCUGAACAGCAGCCGCCUGGCAGACUCUGCUGUGUAUCUGUGCGCGCUGGAGCACAGUGCCAGGUGAGCACAGGCAGCCCGUCACAAAACCCUGGGUGGGGGCAGGGCACACGGACCCGAGAGAGGAGACAAGCAGAAGUUAGAAUAGAACAGCGGAUAUGAGCACAGAGAGAAGAAAGGAAAGUAGACCAGAGUCGGCGAGAGGCAAUAAGAAUAGAAUGGAACAGAAGAGAACACACGGGAACGGACCGGAACAGGAGCGAUGCGAACAGAAUAAAGGGGAGAGAAGAGAAGAGGGGUCAGUAAUUUAAGGAAGAAACUUGAAGAAUCAGCUGGAAAAUUAUAGACAUUUUCACCUUUUCGCCUUCCCCAAUUGCCUGGAUCUGGUGGUUUUAUAUAAAAAAAUAGCUUUCUUGCCCCACAACACUAGCAGAUGGGGAAGCAUUCUCUGGGGAGACAAUCCGGUACCUCAGUAAUUCCCGUGUGAUUUUCCCUUUUGUUCAGGUCAGACACUGUCAGACUGGUAAAAUGCACACAGACAUUCUCACAUACAGCCACACACAGGACACAGCACAAGUUCUCUCUCUCUCUCUCUCUCUCUCUCUCUCUCUCUCACACACACACACACACACACACAAAUUCUCACAUACAACCACUCUCUAGAUUCUAACACACAGCCAGAAACCUACUCACUGAAAUCACACACACACGCACAGUCUCUGACAUA